rnacentral:misc_RNA from 1 species
AACCUAGCACACCUGCGGUGUGUACCUGCGGAGGGAUCAUUACCGAGUUAGGGUAGUCACUCACUGCCCGACCUCCCAACCCUUUGUCUACCACACUUUGUCGUUGCUUCGGCGGACCGGUUGACCAACUGGUCGUGACCGCCGGGGGCUGGCUCGUCCCCCCUGGACAGCGUCCGCCGAUGGCCCAACCACAAAAUCUUGUACAAAACGUGUCGUCUGAAUUAUUUGAGAAAUCAAAAA